AAAUUGAAGAGUUUGAUCAUGGCUCAGAUUGAACGCUGGCGGCAGGCCUAACACAUGCAAGUCGAACGGUAGCACAGAGAGCUUGCUCUCGGGUGACGAGUGGCGGACGGGUGAGUAAUGUCUGGGAAACUGCCCGAUGGAGGGGGAUAACUACUGGAAACGGUAGCUAAUACCGCAUAACGUCGCAAGACCAAAGUGGGGGACCUUCGGGCCUCACACCAUCGGAUGUGCCCAGAUGGGAUUAGCUAGUAGGUGGGGUAACGGCUCACCUAGGCGACGAUCCCUAGCUGGUCUGAGAGGAUGACCAGCCACACUGGAACUGAGACACGGUCCAGACUCCUACGGGAGGCAGCAGUGGGGAAUAUUGCACAAUGGGCGCAAGCCUGAUGCAGCCAUGCCGCGUGUAUGAAGAAGGCCUUCGGGUUGUAAAGUACUUUCAGCGAGGAGGAAGGCGUUGUGGUUAAUAACCACAGCGAUUGACGUUACUCGCAGAAGAAGCACCGGCUAACUCCGUGCCAGCAGCCGCGGUAAUACGGAGGGUGCAAGCGUUAAUCGGAAUUACUGGGCGUAAAGCGCACGCAGGCGGUUUGUUAAGUCAGAUGUGAAAUCCCCGGGCUCAACCUGGGAACUGCAUUUGAAACUGGCAAGCUUGAGUCUCGUAGAGGGGGGUAGAAUUCCAGGUGUAGCGGUGAAAUGCGUAGAGAUCUGGAGGAAUACCGGUGGCGAAGGCGGCCCCCUGGACAAAGACUGACGCUCAGGUGCGAAAGCGUGGGGAGCAAACAGGAUUAGAUACCCUGGUAGUCCACGCCGUAAACGAUGUCUACUUGGAGGUUGUGCCCUUGAGGCGUGGCUUCCGGAGCUAACGCGUUAAGUAGACCGCCUGGGGAGUACGGCCGCAAGGUUAAAACUCAAAUGAAUUGACGGGGGCCCGCACAAGCGGUGGAGCAUGUGGUUUAAUUCGAUGCAACGCGAAGAACCUUACCUGGUCUUGACAUCCACGGAAGUUUUCAGAGAUGAGAAUGUGCCUUCGGGAACCGUGAGACAGGUGCUGCAUGGCUGUCGUCAGCUCGUGUUGUGAAAUGUUGGGUUAAGUCCCGCAACGAGCGCAACCCUUAUCCUUUGUUGCCAGCG
rnacentral:rRNA from 2 species